GAGGCUCCGGUUCACGUCGUCGCGGCUGCGACGGCGACCCGGCGGCC
rfam:Frankia sp. ETN1h contig_20, whole genome shotgun sequence.